CUGAUGCAGCGACGCCGCGUGAGGGAUGACGGCCUUCGGGUUGUAAACCUCUUUCAGUAGGGAAGAAGCGAGAGUGACGGUACCUGCAGAAGAAGCGCCGGCUAACUACGUGCCAGCAGCCGCGGUAAUACGUAGGGCGCAAGCGUUGUCCGGAAUUAUUGGGCGUAAAGAGCUCGUAGGCGGUUUGUCGCGUCUGCUGUGAAAGCCCGGGGCUCAACCCCGGGUCUGCAGUGGGUACGGGCAGACUAGAGUGCAGUAGGGGAGACUGGAAUUCCUGGUGUAGCGGUGAAAUGCGCAGAUAUCAGGAGGAACACCGAUGGCGAAGGCAGGUCUCUGGGCUGUUACUGACGCUGAGGAGCGAAAGCAUGGGGAGCGAACAGGAUUAGAUACCCUGGUAGUCCAUGCCGUAAACGUUGGGCACUAGGUGUGGGGGACAUUCCACGUUUUCCGCGCCGUAGCUAACGCAUUAAGUGCCCCGCCUGGGGAGUACGGCCGCAAGGCUAAAACUCAAAGGAAUUGACGGGGGCCCGCACAAGCGGCGGAGCAUGCGGAUUAAUUCGAUGCAACGCGAAGAACCUUACCAAGGCUUGACAUUCACCGGACCGCCCCAGAGAUGGGGUUUCCCUUCGGGGCUGGUGGACAGGUGGUGCAUGGUUGUCGUCAGCUCGUGUCGUGAGAUGUUGGGUUAAGUCCCGCAACGAGCGCAACCC
rnacentral:rRNA from 1 species